rnacentral:lncRNA from 1 species
GACAAAUUCGAGCAUCUUAAAAUGAUUCAACAGGAGGAGAUAAGGAAGCUCGAGGAAGAGAAAAAACAACUGGAAGGAGAAAUCAUAGAUUUUUAUAAAAUGAAAGCUGCCUCUGAAGCACUGCAGACUCAGCUGAGCACUGAUACAAAGAAAGACAAACAUCCUGAUCCAUAUGAAUUCCUCUUAUUAAGAAAAAUAAAGCAUCCAGGAUUCAAUGAAGAACUAUCACCUUGUUAAUCAUUCAGAAACAUAUUGCAGACUUAAGCCAUUUUUGAUACAGAUACUGAAACAAUUACUUUCUAAGAGCAAACUUGAAGGUAUGGAUAAGGCCCUGAGUCAUCUUCCUGAGCUGAAUGAUAGUUAAGCUGAAUUAACAAUUUGGACAAGACAGCAAAUGCUAUUGUCCAAGUUUUCUAAAGAAGAAUCUGAAGUGAAAUGACAUCAAGAGACCUAUCAAGACCUGUAUCCAGGAAAAG